rnacentral:lncRNA from 1 species
CACCAACCACCUAGUCAGUCCAAAUGAGAGAACCUGGAUACCUCUGUUGACGAUGCAGGAUUCACUUGCCAUUUUGUUCUUCUCUUCGUGGGAACCUCCGAUGACAGCUGUUUCUAGCUCAAGCUGGAAGGGACUUGUCUUAGAUGAGAGUUUGGACUUGGACUUUUGAGUUAAUGGAGGAAUCCAGUGGGAGGGCCAAUACUGUGUUAAAAGUAGAAAUAACAGGUGAGAAUGUUGACAAAAGUAAAACCAUAACAUAGAUGCCUGGUCCUGUAGUAAUGAGGCUUGGACUGGAGAAGACAUUAAAGUUGGGCCACAUCAUGAAACUGGAGAGGUGUGAUGGGUGCAGCAUGAACCAGGACAGAGGAAAGCAGAGAGAAGGUGCUCCACACUGAUGAAGCAGCCAGAGGAAUGGGCCUUGGCAGUGGAGGGGAACAUCUGGGCUCAGGCUCUAGACACGGUCUGCAAUUUAAAAACUGGAUUGUGAUGAGAAGCAUCUGGAGUCUGAUAAAGGCUAAUUACAGUUAAGAAAUAUGAAAAUUGAGAACUCAGGAGAAGAUCAGCUUCUACUACUGCCUGGGCAGAAUAAUCAAGAAAUUAGCACAAACUGAUGGUGACCAUAAAGAGACACUAGAGGAUAAUUGAAGUAUUAACAUUAAAGAUAUUCUGGCAA